ensembl:lncRNA
UCUAGAAAAAAGCUGAGCACCAGCAGGGCUCAGGGAAGCUGAAGUGGAUUUGUAUGAUGGAGAGGAUUCUGAGAGUGACAUUUUCAGUAAGAGGGCUCUAAGGACAUGACCCCUACUGGGUGGAUCCUCAGAACUUGGAAGUCACAAGUGAUUUCAUGCUACAGGGAGAAAAGAAAAGCCUAAUUGUCUGAAGCCCAUUCUUUGGAGACAGGGGAAUAAAUGACAUGAUCCACCUAGACCUAAGUGUGGU